rnacentral:rRNA from 1 species
UACGUAGGGACCAAGCGUUGUCCGGAAUCAUUGGGCGUAAAGAGCGUGUAGGCGGCUUUGUUAAGUCUUGCGUGAAAUCUCGGGCUCAACCCCGAGCGGUCGUGAGAAACUGGCAGGCUAGAGUGCGGGAGAGGAGAGUGGAAUUCCUGGUGUAGCGGUGAAAUGCGCAGAUAUCAGGAAGAACACCCGUGGCGAAGGCGCUCUCUGGAACGCAACUGACGCUGAGACGCGAAAGCGUGGGGGAGCAAACAGG